rnacentral:tRNA from 1 species
GGUUGUGGCUCAUUGGUAGAGCCCUUGCCUAGCAUGUGCAAGGUGCUGAGUUCAAUCCUCAGCACCA